GUGCUUUACCCUACAGGACAGUGAAGAGGAAAGGUCAGCCCCACGGCUCAACCAGCAGCAUGUGCUUUACCCUACAGGACAGUGAAGAGGAAAGGUCAGCCCCACGGCACCAUGUGCUUUACCCUACAGGACAGUGAAGAGGAAAGGUCAGCCCCACGGCUCAACCAGCAGCAUGUGCUUUACCCUACAGGACAGUGAAGAGGAAAGGUCAGCCCCACAGCUCAACCAGCACCAUGUGUUGCACCCUACAGGACAGUGAAGAGGAAAGGUCAGCCCCACGGCUCAACCAGCACCAUGUGUUGCACCCUACAGGACAGUGAAGAGGAAAGGUCAGCCCCACGGCUCAACCAGCACCAUGUGUUGCACCCUACAGGACAGUGAAGAGGAAAGGUCAGCCCCACG